rnacentral:rRNA from 1 species
AGAGUUUGAUCAUGGCUCAGAUUGAACGCUGGCGGCAGGCCUAACACAUGCAAGUCGAACGGUAACAGGAAGAAGCUUGCUUCUUUGCUGACGAGUGGCGGACGGGUGAGUAAUGUCUGGGAAACUGCCUGAUGGAGGGGGAUAACUACUGGAAACGGUAGCUAAUACCGCAUAACGUCGCAAGACCAAAGAGGGGGACCUUCGGGCCUCUUGCCAUCGGAUGUGCCCAGAUGGGAUUAGCUAGUAGGUGGGGUAACGGCUCACCUAGGCGACGAUCCCUAGCUGGUCUGAGAGGAUGACCAGCCACUCUGGAACUGAGACACGGUCCAGACUCCUACGGGAGGCAGCAGUGGGGAAUAUUGCACAAUGGGCGCAAGCCUGAUGCAGCCAUGCCGCGUGUAUGAAGAAGGCCUUCGGGUUGUAAAGUACUUUCAGCGGGGAGGAAGGGAGUAAAGUUAAUACCUUUGCUCAUUGACGUUACCCGCAGAAGAAGCACCGGCUAACUCCGUGCCAGCAGCCGCGGUAAUACGGAGGGUGCAAGCGUUAAUCGGAAUUACUGGGCGUAAAGCGCACGCAGGCGGUUUGUUAAGUCAGAUGUGAAAUCCCCGGGCUCAACCUGGGAACUGCAUCUGAUACUGGCAAGCUUGAGUCUCGUAGAGGGGGGUAGAAUUCCAGGUGUUGCGGUGAAAUGCGUAGAGAUCUGGAGGAAUACCGGUGGCGAAGGCGGCCCCCUGGACGAAGACUGACGCUCAGGUGCGAAAGCGUGGGGAGCAAACAGGAUUAGGUACCCUGGUAGUCCACGCCGUAAACGAUGUCGACUUGGAGGUUGUGCCCUUGAGGCGUGGCUUCCGGAGCUAACGCGUUAAGUCGACCGCCUGGGGAGUACGGCCGCAAGGUUAGAACUCAAAUGAAUUGACGGGGGCCCGCACAAGCGGUGGAGCAUGUGGUUUAAUUCGAUGCAACGCGAAGAACCUUACCUGGUCUUGACAUCCACGGAAGUUUUCAGAGAUGAGAAUGUGCCUUCGGGAACCGUGAGACAGGUGCUGCAUGGCUGUCGCCAGCUCGUGUUGUGAAAUGUUGGGUUAAGUCCCGCAACGAGCGCAACCCUUAUCCUUUGUUGCCAGCGGUCCGGCCGGGAACUCAAAGGAGACUGCCAGUGAUAAACUGGAGGAAGGUGGGGAUGACGUCAAGUCAUCAUGGCCCUUACGACCAGGGCUACACACGUGCUACAAUGGCGCAUACAAAGAGAAGCGACCUCGCGAGAGCAAGCGGACCUCAUAAAGUGCGUCGUAGUCCGGAUUGGAGUCUGCAACUCGACUCCAUAAGUCGGAAUCGCUAGUAAUCGUGGAUCAGAAUGCCACGGUGAAUACGUUCCCGGGCCUUGUACACACCGCCCGUCACACCAUGGGAGUGGGUUGCAAAAGAAGUAGGUAGCUUAACCUUCGGGAGGGCGCUUACCACUUUGUGAUUCAUGACUGGGGUGAAGUCGUAACAAGGUA